rnacentral:lncRNA from 1 species
ACUGAUAAUAGCCCAAGGAGUCUACUGGAUGCUCGUAUCUGAAAGGAGAACAGAGUGUAAAUGAUCAAUGGUUGUCUCUAUCAAGCUGCAUUUAGUUGGGAUUUUUCCUUUCCAGAUUGUCAUGACUGAAGCUAGUAAAAGUUGAAAGGAGGAUGGAUAUCUGCAAGGAUAAUCAUUAAGAUCUUCUGUGCUACAGACAAGGCCACCACUGCGCCCCUGCCUCCAACUGCUCUGCUGGUACCUAUGGAAAAGGCUCUUUCUCAGAUACCCCAACUCCUUCUGCAAUUGGAGGGCAAGCUAGAAUGAAUGAGCAUGGGUUUUGGUCCCAACAUCGGAAGAAGAACCCUAAUUCUUGCUGUGGAUGGUGAAUGUGGUCCCUGAGGUGAGGUGCAGAUGGCUGUCUAUGAAAAGUUACUCUUCAUACGCUUACAAACACAGAGCCUGGGUGAUUCAGAUAAUAUCUGUUCUGCUUCCACUUAGGAGUCUGGCAAAUGAAGGACACAAAAUAAAAUAUUUUUUAAAAAUGGUGCCUAAAUUUAAGAAUAAAAUCCAUGUCUAAGCACUUAAGCACUUAAAUAUGUGGUCUGAUUAAAAAAAAAAUUGGAAUCAAGAAAACACCAGCAAGGCCAGCUGGGAGGUGAUGACUUGGAGAAUUCCAUCCCUAAUUUUGUUGUCUAAAUAAGAAUCCAGGAAUAGGGCCCAGGAUCUCAUUUUGAACAAAAUAUUUGUAUGAAUGCUGCCUAGAGCUGGAAGGAUUAAAUUGGAUCACUGAUCUCCUCUGCACUGGGAAAUCACUAGAAUUUUUUUUAAAGCACUGCUCAUGUUAUUGGGCAUUCAGAAGAUUGAAUAUGAUGGUUGGGCAUUGAAAAGACACAGGAAGGUCUGUUCUAAUCCCCAACACAAAUGUUGGAGCAUGCUACCAAGCCCUACUGCCUUGACAUAGAAGGCCCAGGUGUUAGCAACCCAGAACCAGUGUAAGACACUGCUCCUUGCACUGACUCCAGCCACCCACCAGCCUGUCUGUCCA